CUUUAGACAUGUUCACGAGCUCAGAAACGUUUCCUCCAGACAGCUCCGGGAAACACGCGUCAACCUGCGCCAACCUGCGCUCCAGAACGAGUGAGGACGAACGAUCCGGAGACCCGGCGGCGCUGACCCGGGUAGCAUGCUCCGUCUCCAUGGCGACGGCCUCUGGAGGCGGACGGCGAGCGUCGGAGGGGAAGAUCCAGCUUCAUCCGAACACGCUGCCGUUCAUCGAUUUGGCUACCCCAUGCUGCUGGCCGCAAAUCCGGUCCAUGUCAUUAAUAAAGGAUUAAUGGAGGAUAAAUAAAAGCUUCUCUUCACCAUUCACCCACUGACGACCGUGCCAGCUGCCUUCUGCCACGAGGUGACGUCAUCCUGGGGCCAGAGCCCCACGUGGGGGAGAAGAGCCCAGGAGCAGCUGAGAGGGUCCUGCAUUCAGCCGCUGUCCCAUGAGGCAGGUUGAACCCAGAGGGUCACCUGAACAGAACCUCAGGACAUUCAUGGUGGGAAGUGGUUUAGGAUCAGAUAUCGUCAGGAGAACCACCCCAAGUAACAAACGGCUUCAAUAUGCACUCAAUCAAACAUCUCAUCUGGGCUGUGUGUCGUUCAAUGAGUAAUAUAAGAACUCCACUUUGAGGAGACGGGAUGGCAGUUGCUGGUGAACUCAAGUGGAACUAUGAACCAGGAUGUUUGUUUUGUUGAAUACUUUGAACCGAGUGGCAAAUAAAUGUUGUCUUGGCUCACUGCUAGAAAUCUACGAGGAGUAGGCUAUUUCAUUUGAACUUCAUUGGAUCAGAUUAGAUAAUCCUUUCUUUGUGCCACAGUGGGGACAUCUCAGGAUCACAGCAGCGCUGCACAUCAGAGCAUUAAUAGAAAAUAAAUAUAUAACACAAAACACAAUACUCAAUACUAAUACUAAAUAUACUGAGGAAAAAUAAAGUGCUGCAUUAUCUGUGCAUCUGGAUC